AUUUUAAAUUUUAAUUUGGUUUAUUAAUUAAUUUUAAAUUUAUUUGUAUAUAUUAUUAUUUGAGUUGGGGGAUAAUUUAAAUAAUUUAAAAUGAAUUUUAAUAUAUAAAUUUAUUAAUAAUUAAGUAAUUAAUAAUAGAUAAAAUUAUAGUAUAAAAUUAUUAAGUGCCAGCAUUUGCGGUUAAACUUGAUAUGUAAGUUAAUUUAAGUGUAUUUUACAAUUUUAUUGAAUUUAUUUUUUAAAAAUUUUUAAAAUUUGAUUUUAGGAUAAAAUAAAAUUUGAGUAGUAAAUAUUUUUUUUAAUUUUGUUAAAUUUAAAUAUGUAGAAAGUUUAUUUGAUAGACUAGGAUUAGAUACCCUAUUAUAAUAAAUUAUUAUGAAUUCUUAUUUAUUAAUUAUUAUUUUAAUUAAAAUUAAAAAUUAUGGCGGUAUUUUAAUCUAUUUAGGGGAACUUGUUUUAUAAUUGAUAAUCCACGAUAAAAAAAACUUAUAUUUUUAUAUUUAUGUAUGAUUAUUUUAAAAGUAUUUUUUAAAAAUAUAUUUAAAAUGAAUUUUAUUUUAGAUGGUCAAUAAUUUAAAUCAAUAUGUAAUUUUUAUAUAAGAAAAAAUGAGUUACUAUAAUAUUUUUUUUGGAUAAAUUAAUUAAUAUUAAUUUUGAGAUUGGAUUUAAAAGUAAAAUUAAAAAUUUUUUAUUUUGAAUUAAGAUUUAAAAUAUGCACAAAUCGCCCGUCGCUUCUAUCAUGUAGAAUAAGUCGUAACAAAGUAAAUGUACUGGAAAGUGUAUUUAGUUAUCAAUAUUAUAUUUUGUA
rnacentral:ncRNA from 1 species